rnacentral:rRNA from 1 species
AUUGAACGCUGGCGGCAGGCCUAACACAUGCAAGUCGAGCGGAUGAAGGGAGCUUGCUCCUGGAUUCAGCGGCGGACGGGUGAGUAAUGCCUAGGAAUCUGCCUGGUAGUGGGGGAUAACGUCCGGAAACGGGCGCUAAUACCGCAUACGUCCUGAGGGAGAAAGUGGGGGAUCUUCGGACCUCACGCUAUCAGAUGAGCCUAGGUCGGAUUAGCUAGUUGGUGGGGUAAAGGCCUACCAAGGCGACGAUCCGUAACUGGUCUGAGAGGAUGAUCAGUCACACUGGAGCUGAGACACGGUCCAGGCUCCUACGGGAGGCCGCAGUGGGGAAUGUUGGACAGUGGGCGAAAGCCUGAUCCAGCCAUGCCGCGUGUGUGAAGAAGGUCUUCGGAUUGUAAAGCACUUUAAGUUGGGAGGAAGGGCAGUUAGUUGAUACCUUGCUGUUUUGACGUUACCAACAGAAUAAGCACCGGCUAACUUCGUG